rnacentral:lncRNA from 1 species
GUAUCUUUCAUGUUAUUUAAAUUUUUCACGAGAGAACGAACCGCUUUUAUAAUAAAAGAUAAAGGUUUUGCAUCUUGAAAUCCGACGCACACACAGCAAGCUGGACGGGCGGGGGCACUGGGUGGGGACCGGGUCCAGGAGCCCCUUCUGCCCCUGUUCCCCCCGGUUCCAGUUCUCCCUCCAAGGGGCUGAGCCCACAUUCCCGGAGGGGCGAAGGAACGGGCAGCAGACAUGUACUGAGCAGGGAAGGGCAAAUGCAGAGUCGUCUGCAGGCUGGAGCCCAGGGCAGGUGCCGUGGGCGUCCUUGGCCGUGGCCGCUCCCUUGGGGCAGGCGCCUCCCUCAAAGUUUCCUGUAGCUUCAACAUUUCCAGGUUUGGCCGAUGGUGCAGUGUUUUGGGGCGGGCGCAUCUCCCGUUGACAAGUCACACACUCAAACGCCUUGAGGGGACUGGGCCGGCCCCAUGUUCUCCCAGGGACCCUCUGGGCGAGCUCGUGGCCCCCACAGGAGGGAGUUAAAACAGCCUUCACCGCCCGUGGGACCUUCUGGGUUGUCUCCCGUCUUUGUUCCCCAGCUCGGGGCCCCCACUUACAAUCGGCAACGCAUCCCCCCUGGACCACCAGCCCACAAGGACUUGGACCCUGGGUGUCUACAUGGGAGGCCAUCCUGGGAAGGGUUUGGAUGGCGCUGCCCGGGGCCCUGGGAGUCAGGGUGGGGCAAGAUCCGUGGGUUGACCUCACCCACUGGGGCGGGGCACUGGCCAUGCAGCCUCUGUAAGGGUGGUAUCAGUUCGUGGGCGACGCCCCCUCCCAGCUCGGUGAAAAUGGAGCCUGAAGAAGCCAGGGACCCCCUUUGCAGCCCCUUCUGGGCAGCCCCGAGUGGCCGGUGGCUCAGGAGGAGUGUCUGUGGGUCUCAGGGGCAAUGGGGCGGGGGUGGGGGUGGAGGUGGAGCCUGCGUCCUUAAACUGAUGGGGCGGACGCUGGCUACACCUACUGAGCAGAGGGUCGCUCUGGGAGUUUUGCUCAGGUGGGAUAUUAGGAGGCAGGACCCUGGAAAGUGCUC